rnacentral:rRNA from 1 species
UACAGAGGCCCCAAGCGUUACUGAGAAUCACUGGGUUUAAAGGGUGCGUAGGUGGCGCGUUAAGUCCGUUGUGAAAUCCCUGGGCUCAACCCAGGAAUUGCUUCGGAUACUGGCGUGCUUGAGGCCGGUAGGGGUCACUGGAACUGACGGUGGAGCGGUGAAAUGCGUAGAUAUCGAGAGGAACACCUGCGGCGAAGGCGGGUUGCUGGGCUGACACUGACGCUGAGGCGCGAAAGCCAGGGGAGCAAACGGG